GACGAACGCUGGCGGCGUGCUUAAUACAUGCAAGUCGAACGAUGAAAGCUGGAGCUUGCUCCGGCUGGAUUAGUGGCGAACGGGUGAGUAACACGUGAGUAACCUGCCCCUCACUCUGGGAUAACCUCGGGAAACCGAAGCUAAUACCGGAUACGACCCUCGGAGGCAUCUCCAGGGGGUGGAAAGAAUUUCGGUGAGGGAUGGACUCGCGGCCUAUCAGGUAGUUGGUGAGGUAACGGCUCACCAAGCCGACGACGGGUAGCCGGCCUGAGAGGGUGACCGGCCACACUGGGACUGAGACACGGCCCAGACUCCUACGGGAGGCAGCAGUAGGGAAUAUUGCACAAUGGGCGCAAGCCUGAUGCAGCAACGCCGCGUGAGGGACGAC
rnacentral:rRNA from 1 species